rnacentral:rRNA from 1 species
AUGGCCACCACGUCGCCUCCCUCGGCCAAUAAAGUCGCCCACCGAAACCCUAAUCCCCAUCCCGCUCAUAGCCCCCUGGAUCCCCCAUCGGCCCCCUCCUCUUCUUCUCGAAUUCGAGCUCGAAUAACUCACGGUCACCGUUGCCUCGCUGUCAUCGUCGCGGCCACCGACCUCUCCGAUGUGCGGGAGCACGUCCAGGAGGUCCAUCGCGGCUGGCUUCGUCCUUUGCGGGCACCAGCUCGAGCCAGGGCGCUGCGUCGCCAACGCCGUCUUCGUCUUCUUCGUCCGGCCGCCGCCAUCUAG